rnacentral:rRNA from 1 species
AGCGGCGAACGGGUGAGUAACACGUAGGUGAUCUGCCCAUCAGACGGGGAUAACGAUUGGAAACGAUCGCUAAUACCGGAUAGGACGAAAGUUUAAAGGUGCUUCUGGCACCGCUGAUGGAUGAGCCUGCGGCGCAUUAGCUAGUUGGUAGGGUAAAGGCCUACCAAGGCGACGAUGCGUAGCCGACCUGAGAGGGUGAACGGCCACACUGGGACUGAGACACGGCCCAGACUCCUACGGGAGGCAGCAGUAGGGAAUCUUCGGCAAUGGGCGAAAGCCUGACCGAGCAACGCCGCGUGAAUGAUGAAGGCCUUCGGGUUGUAAAAUUCUGUUAUAAGGGAAGAACGACUUUAGUAGGAAAUGGCUAGAGUGUGACGGUACCUUAUGAGAAAGCCACGGCUAACUACGUGCCAGCAGCCGCGGUAAUACGUAGGAGGCGAGCGUUAUCCGGAAUUAUUGGGCGUAAAGAGCGCGCAGGUGGUUGAUUAAGUCUGAUGUGAAAGCCCACGGCUUAACCGUGGAGGGUCAUUGGAAACUGGUCGACUUGAGUGCAGAAGAGGGAAGUGGAAUUCCAUGUGUAGCGGUGAAAUGCGUAGAGAUAUGGAGGAACACCAGUGGCGAAGGCGGCUUCCUGGUCUGUAACUGACACUGAGGCGCGAAAGCGUGGGGAGCAUACAGGAUUAGAUACCCUGGUAGUCCACGCCGUAAACGAUGAGUGCUAAGUGU